UUGGUUUGGCCAAAAAUUUUGUUUGCUUGUUUUUGGUAAAUGGUUAUGGAAAAACCCAAACGAACUUUUUGGCCAACCUA
rnacentral:miRNA from 1 species